rnacentral:lncRNA from 1 species
AUGGGCGUUGUGAUCCGGCGGAGGGGGGCGUGGCUGCAACCGCGGCGGCCCUCACCGGAGCGGCCUACCUCACGGGGCGGGCGUGAGGAGAAGGACGGAGCGCGGCCGACCUCAGGCUCGCGCUGUCAUAGUGGUCGGUGGCGGCGCGGGAGGACGCGGCAAGAUGGCGGCGGCGGCGAGGGUGGCCCAGCGGGUGGGAAGCAGCAGAAUUGUCCUGUGGCAUGGGAACCUACCCUUGAAGAAGACAUUAUUUUUGAAACAGCCAGUUUCCCCAGUCUUCUUUGCAGGGCAGAGAUCCCUGCACACCGGACCGCUGAAUGUGGUGCUGCGCAUCCGUCCGCUGCAUCUUUUUGUGGCUACAGGCACAGGAUAUGUGGGAUACAAGCAAUUUGAGAAGCACAAGGAGAAGAAUCUUGAAAAGUUGGGUGUGGAGAUGGCCCCCCAAAUUGCAAGUGAAUGGGAAGUAAGUGAUUGAGCAUUCUGUAAUUUGUUCUUAAAUGCCAAAUCAUUGCAAGG